AUGACGAACAAUGAACUAAAGCCAAACGCAGCCCUCCCUGGUCUCCAGAGGUGUCCUGGGCUGGCUUUGCACGGAGGUUGUGCUGGGAGACUGGACCCGGGGCUGCAGAAGAAGCUGAAGGCUGACUUUGUCCCCUCCCCCAAAAAGGGUGUUUUGAUGCCCCAGGAAGGCUCUGCCAAGCACCAAGAGGUCUCUGAGCUCUUGUCAGCUGCUUUUGAACCUGAGGUUCCUGUGUCGUUGAGCCAGAAAUCAGACCACCGAAGCUACUCCCUUCCUCUCCAUCUCGCCCUGUCUCCGAGACUCUGGCGGUGGCCUGUGAGCCUGAAGACAGCUCUGCAGCCAACCGGUGCUUCGGCCUUUGCGCUGUCCCGGGGCCAGCUUCCCUCGGCCUGGGGAGGCCAUGGCCUGUGAAGGAGGCCCAGGUAAAGGCUGGCAGCUGUUGCUGGCUCUCCUCUCUGCUUCUGGAAGCUUCCGCCUCACUCAGAAUGGGCAGGACAGACCCACUGACUGGACUGCAGAGUCUGGAGGGUUCCAUUGGUCAGGGGAAAGGUGGGCACGUGGCCUCUUGCUGUGCUCCUUGUCACAGACCCGAAGAGCAACUCUGUCCCCUGAGCACUGGGGGUCCUGGGGAAGAGGUGGACAGACAGCUCCCUCCAACUGGCAUUUGGCAACAGGAGCCUGGACUUCUGUGCAAGAAAGGGAGACCCAAGGGUGAACAGUGGCAAAAAAAAAAAAAUCCUAGAGAACAAACAUCCAAUUCCUAGGUGGUUACAAAUCAUGACUUCCUGCAAAUCAACGCCAGGAGAGCAACUUACAUUCAUUUUUUUGUCUUAUUAAAAAGUAGCAGCAACUGGCCCCACAACUCCUGUCAAUGUAAUUUAUUCCACCACCACCUAACAGGAUGGAGUGGAGGGAGUUUGGAUAAAUGGGCUGAGCUGGGCUUCUCUUCCUCCCUACAGAGGGGAGAUCUCAGCACUUUGUCCGGAGCUGAGGAAGUGGGUUCUGUGUUUUACAGUUUUUCCAGCCAUUCUUUUUUCUCCCCCUCCUGAAGCAAGCAAAGAGCGUGGAAGCGUGUACUGGCUUGGAAGAAGAACUCUCUAGAACAUGGAACUUAACCCUCUUUUAUAUAAAACAUGUGCUUUCUAAAGAAAAAUUGUUUCUUACUUUUUGAGACUCCUUGAUCCACCCUGGAACAGUCGCCUGUAGUCCUGGUAGCUGUCGUGCUUGGAAAUAACGAGCGCAUCCUUACCUCAGCUACCUGCUCACGGCCCAUGGGUGGACUCGGCCCCUGGGCUUCAGACCCAGGUCCAUUUGGCCUGGUGAUGAUGUCAUCGUCUAUCCCACCUUCCUUUGCCCCCAGGAAAGGACGCAUCCACCCGUAGCGGCCCCAGCUGACUGCUGUGGUGUGCCGGGGAGCUGAAAUGAGGCCUGCCAGGGCCCCUGUGUGCUGUGCUCCGGAGCCUUCGCUCCCGUCGGGGCUGACAUCGUCUGGUGGCGUGUCCAAGUGUGCCUAGCAGCAGACGCUGAAGCACCAGAGCUCAAGGCCUUCACCUGCUCUAGGCCAGCCCCGUCCCCACACCCCACCACCUCCACUGCCAUGACCAGGCUGAAGACAGGGAACGCCCUCCCCAGACCCGCCGUCCAGCAAGGCCCCGAGACUUUUCUUCUGUGAUCUCCAAAAGCAAGGCAGCCGCGCUGUUCUGUUUCCUCUCCAUCUGCCACCUCCCCUCCCACUGCCCCAGAAGUUUCUAUCAUUCCAUGGAGAAAGCUGUGUUCCAAUGAAUCCUACCUCUUGCCCAGUCCCAGGCAGAGUAAGCAGGGCCCACCUAGGGACCAAGAAAGAGUAGGAAGAAGGGGACGAGCCGGGAGCAAAACCACCUCAGACACCCGGAACUUCUCAGCCUUCUCCCCGCAGCCAGCCGGGUCUCCAGGGACCCUGGGCCCUGGGCCGCCCAUUCCUGGCCCUCCCGCUGCAUCUCAGACCUGACGCCCGUCCGGGGGGAUGUGGUGGCCUGUACCCGCCUUCUCUCCCUCCUCCCGACCCACCCCCUCACCCCCACCCCUGUGUGUUUCGCCAGUUAAGCACCUGUGACUCCAGUACCUACUACUGGUUUUUGGUUGGUUGUUCUGUCUUUUUUUUAAUUAAAUAAAAACAUUUUUAAAAUGUU